UGCCCGCAACUCCUAUCCCUACAUUCUCGCUGUACUGACCGGGAUACGAGCAACCUAAGGGAAGAUCGGGUAACUAACCCAGGUGGGAACUUUAGUCGUAUGCUGACAGGGAAGG
rnacentral:ribozyme from 1 species